rnacentral:rRNA from 1 species
AUUGAACGCUGGCGGCAGGCCUAACACAUGCAAGUCGAGCGGUAACAGGAAGUAGCUUGCUACCUCGCGGACGAGCGGCGGACGGGUGAGUAAUGCCUAGGAAAUUGCCCUGAUGUGGGGGAUAACCAUUGGAAACGAUGGCUAAUACCGCAUGAUGCCUUCGGGCCAAAGAGGGGGACCUUCGGGCCUCUCGCGUCAGGAUAUGCCUAGGUGGGAUUAGCUAGUUGGUGAGGUAAUGGCUCACCAAGGCGACGAUCCCUAGCUGGUCUGAGAGGAUGAUCAGCCACACUGGAACUGAGACACGGCCCUU